rnacentral:rRNA from 1 species
GACGAACGCUGGCGGCGUGCUUAACACAUGCAAGUCGAACGAUGAAGGAGGAGCUUGCUCCUCCGGAUUAGUGGCGAACGGGUGAGUAAUACGUGAGCAAUGUGCCCUUGACUCUGGGAUAAGCGCUGGAAACGGCGUCUAAUACCGGAUACGACCGUCGGAGGCAUCUCCUGAUGGUGGAAAGAACUUCGGUCAAGGAUCAGCUCACGGCCUAUCAGCUAGUUGGUGAGGUAACGGCUCACCAAGGCGACGACGGGUAGCCGGCCUGAGAGGGUGACCGGCCACACUGGGACUGAGACACGGCCCAGGCUCCUACGGGAGGCAGCAGUGGGGAAUAUUGCACAAUGGGCGCAAGCCUGAUGCAGCAACGCCGCGUGAGGGACGAAGGCCUUCGGGUUGUAAACCUCUUUUAGCAGGGAAGAAGCGAAAGUGACGGUACCUGCAGAAAAAGCACCGGCUAACUACGUGCCAGCCGCCGCCGUAAUAC